UCAUCUCCAGGUGCCCAGUAAUCUGUGUGGAAGUGACUAAACCAGUAAAGUUUGGGGACAAAACUAGAUUUGGACUUUUUACGAAAUCCCUGAUGUCUCCAUGUUAGCUCAAAUGUUGAAAAUAGUCUGUGAACAAGACAAGUCCAAUCCAGAGUUUCUCUCUUGUGAGCUCUACUCAAAUCUGGACGCAGCCUGCAUGUCCACCAAUGGAUGGAUGGAUAUGGAAGAUGUGCAAGCUGCUGACAACAGAUCGCACCAUUCUGCCUUUUAACAACAAGAUUUUGCCAUUUUCAGCAGCAUGAAUAAACCCAGAGGUUGUGUUGGGGGAUACGGUACAGAAGUCCAAGCCCUGAACUCUAGUGCCUCUGAUAAUGACUAACCUGAAGACAGCGUUAGAGAGGGAAUUGGAAGUAGAACCUUCUGACCAGAUACUUUUCCAGUGAUGGGUACUUGGAAGAGGUGAACAAGACCCAGGGGCUUUCAUCUAGGACCGAGUGGGAGCUCCCAGGCUGGUCAUAGUUUUAUUGAUCUUGCUUUUGAUUUCCAAGCAUUGCCAAGAUGGUUUUGCAAGCUGGAUCCAGUGAAACAUGGAGAGGGAUCAGAGGCCAUCAUGGCAGGAAAGCAUGGCAACAAGCAGCAGGAAUGGCACCUGGGGCAGGAGUCUGAGUGCCCACAUCAGGAGCAAGACACAGAAGCAGAGAGAGCAAACCGGAAGUGGCACAAGCCAAACCUGCAGAAGAGAAGUUCUCUCCAGUCACCGCUGAGUGUGUUUUGGCAAAGCUCAACCACCAAAUGUCCUUCGAGACUGGUUCUCACCACGGAGACACCGUUUUAGCUUUUCUCUGGGGCAGCUGCCAUCUUCCCACAUCUGGGCUGUUC